UAAGGAAUAUUGGACAAUGGAGGCAACUCUGAUCCAGCCAUGCCGCGUGAAGGAAUAAGGCCCUAUGGGUUGUAAACUUCUUUUAGACGGGACAAAACCCCUUUACGUGUAAAGGGUUGAUGGUACUGUCAGAAUAAGCAUCGGCUAACUUCGUGCCAGCAGCCGCGGUAAUACGAAGGAUGCAAGCGUUAUCCGGAAUUAUUGGGUUUAAAGGGUGCGUAGGCGGACUAAUAAGUCAGUGGUGAAAGCCUGCAGCUUAACUGCAGAAUUGCCAUUGAUACUGUUAGUCUUGAGUACAGUUGAGGUAGGCGGAAUGUGUCAUGUAGCGGUGAAAUGCUUAGAUAUGGCACAGCACACCGAUUGCGAAGGCAGCUUGCUAAGCUGUAACUGACGCUGAGGCACGAAAGCGUGGGGAGCAAACA
rnacentral:rRNA from 1 species